rnacentral:rRNA from 1 species
GCGUCGGAACGUACCGAGUAAUGGGGGAUAACGCAGCGAAAGCUGUGCUAAUACCGCAUACGCCCUGAGGGGGAAAGUGGGGGAUCGCAAGACCUCACGUUAUUCGAGCGGCCGACGUCUGAUUAGCUAGUUGGUGGGGUAAUGGCCUACCAAGGCGACGAUCAGUAGCGGGUCUGAGAGGAUGAUCCGCCACACUGGAACUGAGACACGGUCCAGACUCCUACGGGAGGCAGCAGUGGGGAAUUUUGGACAAUGGGCGAAAGCUCUGAUCCAGCCAUUCCGCGUGAGUGAAGAAGGCCUUCGGGUUGUAAAGCUCUUUCAGCUGGAACGAAACGGUGCGCUCUAACAUAGCGUGCUAAGCGGUACCAGCAGAAGAAGCACCGGCUAAUACGU